UACGUAGGGUGCGAGCGUUGUCCGGAAUCAUUGGGCGUAAAGAGCGCGUAGGCGGUCCGGUAAGUCCGCUCUGAAAGUCCGGGGCUCAACCCCGGGAGGCGGGCGGAUACUGUCGGGCUAGAGUCCGGAAGAGGCGAGUGGAAUUCCUGGUGUAGCGGUGAAAUGCGCAGAUAUCAGGAGGAACACCGAUGGCGAAGGCAGUGGGCUGGGCCGGCACUGACGCUGAGGAGCGAAAGCGUGGGGAGCGAACAGG
rnacentral:rRNA from 1 species